rnacentral:rRNA from 1 species
CCCUUAGAUGUUCUGGGCCGCACGCGCGCUACACUGACGAAGUCAGCGAGCAUGUCCUACGCCGACAGGUGCGGGGAAUCUUGUCAAACUUCGUCGUGAUGGGGAUUGAUUAUUGAAAUUCUUGAUCAUCAACGAGGUAUUCCUAGUAAGCGCAAGUCAGCAGCUUGCGUUGAUUACGUCCCUGCCCUUUGUACACACCGCCCGUCGCUACUACCGAUUGAAUGGUUUAGUGAGAUCUUCGGAUUGGCGCCACUGCGGCUCAGCAAUGGGCUCGGUGGAUGCCGAAAAGUUGAUCAAACUUGAUCAUUUAGAGGAAGUAAAAGUCGUAACA